GUCAAGUCAUCAUGGCCCUUAUGCCCAGGGCUACACACGUGCUACAAUGGGCGGUACAAAGAGAAGCAACCUCGCGAGGGUGAGCAAAUCUCAAAAAGCCGUUCUCAGUUCGGAUUGAAGUCUGCAACUCGACUUCAUGAAGUCGGAAUCGCUAGUAAUCGCGGAUCAGCAUGCCGCGGUGAAUACGUUCCCGGGCCUU
rnacentral:rRNA from 1 species